rnacentral:lncRNA from 1 species
UCCGACUUUGGCUUUGGAAGUCUUUAUCAAAGUUGAAAGUCUUUCACUAGUAGAUGAAUCAGGUUAGAAUCAUAGUCAUAGUUGGGACUUAUCUGAUUAAGGGUUUCUAAUCGGAGAUAGGAUCUUUUCAUAGUCAUUGGUUAUUCCAUGAUCAAUGUUCAGUUGGGCCAAGAUUAUGAGGUUGGUGGUUUUUCGAUCUCCGAUUUAGAGGUCUCGACU